UUGGUUUAGGUAAGGUAUGAAAUUUGAACAAAGUUUUUUUUUUUUUUUCUUUUUUGGGUUGUAACGGGGUGUUGGUUUAGGUAGGCUAUGAAAUUUGAACAAAGGUGUUUUGGUUCAGAGUACAUGAAAUCAUUCUCUCACUACGUUUCUUUUCUAUUAUUCCUGUAAGGUUAUGCAAUCCUUUUUUCCUUUUUUUCUAUAGUGAAUGUAGCAUCUUUCAAAAGCUGUUCUUUUAUUGUUUUUCGCUUUUCUCUUUCUUUCUUUCUUUUUUUUCUUUUUUUUUUUUCUUUUUUUUUUUAUACGACAUUCACUUUUUAUACGACAUUCACUUACUAUUCAUGUACUGCAAAGCUACCCCAAACUUAAAGGUUGCUAUUCCAACAGCAACCCCUAACUUAGAUAGAAACGUAGAUAUG
rnacentral:lncRNA from 1 species